rnacentral:rRNA from 1 species
UACGGGGGGGGCAAGCGUUGUUCGGAAUUACUGGGCGUAAAGGGCUCGUAGGUGGCCAACUAAGUCAGACGUGAAAUCCCUCGGCUUAACCGGGGAACUGCGUCUGAUACUGGAUGGCUUGAGUUUGGGAGAGGGAUGCGGAAUUCCAGGUGUAGCGGUGAAAUGCGUAGAUAUCGGAAGGAACAUCAGUGGCGAAAGCGGCUUCCUGGUCCAGCACCGACGUUCAGGCACGAAAGCGUGGGGAGCAAACAGG